GCUGGUUUGGCUCAGUGGAUAGAGCAUCAGCCUAAGGAUUGAAGGGCCCUGGUUCGAUUCCAGUGAAGAGCA
rfam:Myotis davidii contig59804, whole genome shotgun sequence.